rnacentral:lncRNA from 1 species
GAGCUUCGUGACGUCUGGAUCUUGCUUUUCACCGUAGGGAUUAAGAAGUUAACGGUUUGUUUAUGUUUUAGGUCUUCGUUUCUGCGGCUGUAGUUUUUCUGCUGUUUCUGUCCUUUUGUUUCUUAUAGUUGUUUUGUUUGUGUGAAUUGUUGUAGGGCGUUGUUUGGCUGUUGCAGUUGCGAGGAUAGUCUUUCCUGGUUGUAUUUGUUAUCCAAAUCACCAUGAGAUUAUCUAAGCGAUUGGGAUUGAGUGACUUGUUUGUGAUGAUUUGUUGGUGAAUUGGAAGUGUUAUUGGAUGUUUAGCUUGCUGAAUGGUUUGUUUAUGUUAUAUAUGUGGGUGUUAUCUCAUAGCUUGUGUGUAUAGCUCGUAGAUGGGAGGAUCGCUCUCACUGAUUAUUUGUGAUAAUACUCACGCAUCUCAUUGUGUUUGUGGUGCAAGUAAAUUGGGAUCCGUGGAAUCAUGGCGAGGAAGAGGAGGAUGAUCUAGGGUCUCGGUUGUUAUGUUUAUGAAUAUGUUAAUUGUUGUUGGAACCUGGUUUAUAUGCAUGCUAGGUUGCUGGUGUAAAUUGUGGUUAUUGAAUGAUUGAUUAAUUAAUAAUAUGAUUAAUUGCUGUUGGUUUAA